AACAAACACACUUAUGCAAAAAUAAUUUCAAUUAGCAAAAGAAUAAUAAAAAGAAAGAAAAAAAAAAUCAAAUCGCCAAAAAGAAAAAAAAUCAAUUCAAAUCUGGUGGGUUAUUCAAAUUUAUUUCGGUUUCUUCUCCAUGUGGUUGGUACUCUAGAUAUGGCUUUAAUAUUUGACCAUUAACUUUAAACGUAACACCGUUCUUU
rnacentral:lncRNA from 1 species